AGGACGAACGCUGGCGGCGUGCUUAACACAUGCAAGUCGAGCGGAAAGGCCCUUCGGGGUACUCGAGCGGCGAACGGGUGAGUAACACGUGAGUAAUCUGCCCCUAGCUCUGGGAUAGCUCCGGGAAAACCGGGAUUAAUACCGGAUACGACCACUUUAGACAUCUGUUGUGGUGGAAAGAAUUUUGGCUAGGGAUGAGCUCGCGGCCUAUCAGCUUGUUGGUGGGGUAAUGGCCUACCAAGGCGACGACGGGUAGCCGGCCUGAGAGGGCGACCGGCCACACUGGGACUGAGACACGGCCCAGACUCCUACGGGAGGCAGCAGUGGGGAAUAUUGCGCAAUGGGCGAAAGCCUGACGCAGCGACGCCGCGUGGGGGAUGAAGGCCUUCGGGUUGUAAACCCCUUUCAGCAGGGACGAAGCGAAAGUGACGGUACCUGCAGAAGAAGCGCCGGCUAACUACGUGCCAGCAGCCGC
rnacentral:rRNA from 1 species